UCUUCCAGCCACAGCAUGAUGUUGAAGAAGUUCAAGAGCUUCUGGUGUCUGAUGUUACCUGGAGAAAUACAAGUGCAUCAGGGAAAGUGUAGAUGACACCUUUUCCUAGCCCAGUGAAUGAAAUAAGAGCAGCAGUGUGACAAGAAGCUGGUGGGAAGAGAAUUCAUGUUUCAGCUGAAGAACAAGUAGCCCUGCUCAAGGAAGGAGGACAAGGAGCAUGUCCCCUGAGGUAGUCAAUGUGAAGCUCCUGGGGCAAGGUCUUUAACUGGUGGCCAUUCUUUCCUAGUCAUGUCCAUGCAUUUGACACUCAGAGCCAACAAACAUUCCCC
rnacentral:lncRNA from 1 species